rnacentral:misc_RNA from 1 species
AAGUCGUAACAAGGUUUCCGUAGGUGAACCUGCGGAAGGAUCAUUAUUGAAUAGCUCGUAGUGCUGUGCUGGCCUUUCGGGGGCAUGUGCACGCAUUGCUUCUAUUAUAAUCUCUUUGUGAACCAGUGUAGGCUUGUUUAGCACUCAACCUUGAGCGUAACAGCUCGAGGCUUGGAUAGAAAGGUUGCCUUUAUUGGCUUCCCUUCAAUUAACAAGUCUAUGAUUUUAUAAACCAUUUGUAUGUUUUUGAAUGUUUCUUUACUCGACCUCGGUCAGUAAAACUAUACAACUUUCAGCAACGGAUCUCUUGGCUCUC